GGAAUAAACUAUGCCUCUGGGAAAGAAAUGCAUUGCAUGGAUACACUUUGUGAAGGUAAACACACAGAGGCAUUCUGCUUUCUGUUAAUUAAUGACAGUGAUGACAAGUUUUUAUAGGAAACCAAUUUUGCUUUUGAACACCAGGGAGAUCUUUGAGCAUAAGAAAUAUUUCAAUUUAGGAAAACUAUAGCACAGCCAAAAGUCCAAAUGUAACAGGUGAAUUACAGUUGG
rnacentral:lncRNA from 1 species